rnacentral:misc_RNA from 1 species
UUUCCGUAGGUGAACCUGCGGAAGGAUCAUUCAUAAUAAAGUGUUUUAUGGCACUUUUUAAAAAUCCAUAUCCACCUUGUGUGCAAUGUUAGAUCUCGUCAAUCUUGGCGAGAUUUUUAUACAUCAACUCAUUCUUUAACUAAUUUGUCUGAAAAAUAUUAUGAAUACUUAAUUCAAAAUACAACUUUCAACAACGGAUCUCUUGGCUCUCGCAUCGAUGAAGAACGCAGU